rnacentral:rRNA from 1 species
AUACGAAUGGAGCAAGCGUUGUACGGAAUCACUGGGCGUAAAGCGUACGUAGGCGGAUUUUUAAGUCAGAAGUGAAAGCCCAGGGCUCAACCCUGGAACUGCUUUUGAAACUGGAAGUCUAGAGUCCCGGAGAGGUUAGGGGAAUUCCGAGUGUAGCAGUGAAAUGCGCAGAUAUUCGGAGGAACACCAGUGGCGUAGGCGCCUAACUGGACGGGAACUGACGCUGAGGUACGAAAGCGUGGGGAGCAAACGGGAUUAGAAACCCUUGUAGUCC